rnacentral:lncRNA from 1 species
AGGAGGGACUGGUGGGGUCGUGGGCGGCGUGCCCCCAUUUCUACACCUGGGGAAACUGAGGCACGGCCCAAGGUCAUACGGCAAGUUCACAACUCUGGGAGUUGCACCUCUGAGCCAAGAAGCAUUACUGCCUCAUCCUGUCACUCAUUCCUCCCAUAAGCACGUGCUGGGCACCUACUGUGUACCAGUUUCUGUUUGGGGUGGUGAGAACUGGACAGGAACAGACAGAAAAGAAGGAGAUGUUCUCAAGAUGAGAAAGUCCUCAGUAAAUGUGAUAAGUGAACACAGUCUGCUGUAUGAGAGGCACUGAGUGUGACUGAAAACGCACACGGGUUUGGGGUUCAGGGUGGCAGUGUGGGUGCAGGCGAGCCCCGCGGAGAAGGUAAAACCGAACCGUCCCCAAGCAGGUGAGGAGGCAGCGUGCAGAGACCUGUGAGGAGCGCACGUCAGCGUGAGGGACACCUGCGCACAGGCCCUGGGGCAGCGGCGAGGACACAGGGGAGGCAGGCAGGUCAGUGCAACUUACGUGAGUGCAGAGGGCACGACGCUGUGGAGAAAACGUGGGCGAAGGGGCGUGUUAGAGGCCGAAAGAAUGAGGGCCGUGAUCAACUCAGUACAGCACCGGGGGCCAUAGGAGUAAACAGCAAACUGUUCUCACAGAUGCAGAACGUUGGCAAACUGACAAACUGCGUCUGCUGCGCACAAGGGCUGCCGAGGGCGUCACCAUCCAGGCACGAGUAUUUCUUAUGAUUAGGCAUAACUGAAGCCUGCCAGUAACAACAUGAACCUGUGAUCAAUUAAAUAGCUGAUCAAUCCUUACCUCCUCCUCCCUGCUCUUGUUACCCAAUAAAUACAAAGGGCUGUAAAAGCUCAAGAAGCAGCCUUUGCUCAUUAAGAUCAGGGAGCUCUUUUCUCUUCUUCCUUUUUUUUUUUUUUUUUUUGAUGCAGUUUCACUCCUGUCGCCCAGGCUGGAGUGCAGUGGCGCGAUCUCGGCUCACCACAACCUCCGCCUCCCGGGUUCAAGGGAUCCCCCUGCCUCAGCCUCCCGAGUAGCUGGGAUUAGAGGCAUGUGCCCGCAUGCCUGGCGAAUUUUCUAUUUUU